AAUGCACAUACUGUGAGCUCGAUGAGUAGGGCGGGACACGUGGUAUCCUGUCUGAAUAUGGGGGGACCAUCCUCCAAGGCUAAAUACUCCUGACUGACCGAUAGUGAACCAGUACCGUGAGGGAAAGGCGAAAAGAACCCCGGCGAGGGGAGUGAAAAAGAACCUGAAACCGUGUACGUACAAGCAGUGGGAGCACGCUUAGGCGUGUGACUGCGUACCUUUUGUAUAAUGGGUCAGCGACUUAUAUUCUGUAGCAAGGUUAACCGAAUAGGGGAGCCGAAGGGAAACCGAGUCUUAACUGGGCGUUAAGUUGCAGGGUAUAGACCCGAAACCCGGUGAUCUAGCCAUGGGCAGGUUGAAGGUUGGGUAACACUAACUGGAGGACCGAACCGACUAAUGUUGAAAAAUUAGCGGAUGACUUGUGGCUGGGGGUGAAAGGCCAAUCAAACCGGGAGAUAGCUGGUUCUCCCCGAAAGCUAUUUAGGUAGCGCCUCGUGAAUUCAUCUCCGGGGGUAGAGCACUGUUUCGGCAAGGGGGUCAUCCCGACUUACCAACCCGAUGCAAACUGCGAAUACCGGAGAAUGUUAUCACGGGAGACACACGGCGGGUGCUAACGUCCGUCGUGAAGAGGGAAACAACCCAGACCGCCAGCUAAGGUCCCAAAGUCAUGGUUAAGUGGGAAACGAUGUGGGAAGGCCCAGACAGCCAGGAUGUUGGCUUAGAAGCAGCCAUCAUUUAAAGAAAGCGUAAUAGCUCACUGGUCGAGUCGGCCUGCGCGGAAGAUGUAACGGGGCUAAACCAUGCAC
rnacentral:rRNA from 1 species